rnacentral:rRNA from 1 species
CCUACGGGUGGCAGCAGUGAGGAAUAUUGGUCAAUGGGCGCAAGCCUGAACCAGCCAAGUCGCGUGAGGGAUGAAGGUACUAUGGAUUGUAAACCUCUUUUGUCGGGGAGCAAAGCCCGCGACGUGUGGCCGGAAGGAGAGUACUGGAAGAAAAGGCACGGCCAACUCCCGUGCAGCCCGCGAGGGUAUUAGGAGGAUGCGGGGGUUAUCCGGGUUUAUUGGGGUUAAAGGGUGCGUAGGCGGAAGGGUAAGUCAGGGGUAAAAGGUCGGUGCUCAAACCCGGCCAGCCGUUGAAACUGGGCGGCUUGAGUUGGCGAGAAGUAUGCGGAAUGCGCGGUGUAGCGGUGAAAUGCAUAGAUAUCGCGCAGAACUCCGAUUGCGAAGGCAGCGUACCGGCGCUCAACUGACGCUGAGGCACGAAAGCGUGGGGAUCGAACAGGAUUAGAUACCCUUGUAGUC